AAUAUUGGACAAUGGGCGAAAGCCUGAUCCAGCCAUGCCGCGUGUGUGAAGAAGGUCUUCGGAUUGUAAAGCACUUUAUGUUGGGAGUAAGGGCAGGAAGCGAAUACGUUGCAGUUUGUACGUUACCGAGAGAAUAAGCACACGCACACGCUGGCCCAGCAGCCGCGGUAAGACAGCGGGUGUAAGCGUUAAUCGGAAUUACUUGGCGUAAAGCGCUCGUAGGUGGUUCGUUAAGUUGGAUGUGAAAUCCCCGGGCUCAACCUGGGAACUGCAUCCAAAACUGGCGAGCUAGAGUAGGGCAGAGGGUGGUGGAAUUUCCUGUGUAGCGGUGAAAUGCGUAGAUAUAGGAAGGAACACCAGUGGCGAAGGCGACCACCUGGGCUCAUACUGACACUGAGGUGCGAAAGCGUGGGGAGCAAACAGG
rnacentral:rRNA from 1 species